rfam:Candidatus Azambacteria bacterium RIFCSPLOWO2_01_FTLL_46_25 rifcsplowo2_01_scaffold_112, whole genome shotgun sequence.
UUUUUGCGGGAAAAGAGUAUACGGUGGAUGCCUUGACAUAAAGAAGCGAUGAAGGACGUGGCGUAACUGCGAUAAGCUCCGGGGAGGUGUUCAGCAACCUUUGAUCCGGAGAUGUCCGAAUGGGGAAACCCCGUGCCGUAACCCGGCAUGACUGUGCCUAUGAAAAUAGACGCAGAGCGUACCCAGUGAAGUGAAACAUCUCAGUAACUGGAGGAAAAGAAAAAAACGGUGAAGUUAUUAUAACUGUUUCUCAUGGCGCAAGUCAUGGGGCGGCGGUUAUAAUACACUUCAUACCAUUCCCUUAGUAGCGGCGAGCGAAAAGGGAACAGCCCAAACCCGAGUGUUAAGUAAUUUAUUACAAGACGUUCGGGGGUUGCAGGGCACAUCAUCGCAUCUUAUGAUGCGGCAGAGGAAAAUAAGUUUAUAUAUAAUCGAAUUCUCAUGGAAAGGAGAGCCAGAGAAGGUAAUAGCCCUGUACGUGAAAUAUAUAAACGCUCUGUGCGUGUGUUCCUAAGUAGUGCGGGGAACGACAGCCCCGUAUGAAUCCGGGAGGACUAUUCUCCCAAGGCUAAAUAUUCUUUAUGAUCGAUAGUGAACGAGUACCGUGAGGGAAAGGUGAAAAGAACCCCGAUGAGGGGAGUGAAAUAGAACUGAAACCGUAUACUUACAAGGAGUCGGAGCCUUACAUUUAUGUAGGGUGACGGCGUGCCUCUUGGAGAAUGAGCCAACGACUUUAUGUAUAUUGCUGUCUAACUCCGCAAGGAGGAAGGCGCAGGGAAACCAAGUCUGAAUAGGGCGAACUUGAUUUUUAAAAUACGGUCACGUUUCGACGUGAUCGGAUUUAAAAAUCAAAACGCAGUAUGCAUAAGACCCGAAACCAGAGCGAGCUUACCAUGGGCAGGGUGAACUUCGAGUAAAAUCGAAGGGAGGCCCGAACUGGUGUGCCGUGCAAUACGCUCGGAUGACCUGUGGUAAGAAGUGAAAAGCUAAUCGAGCCUGGAAAUAGCUGGUUCUCCCCGAAAUAGUUUUUGGACUAGCCUCGCAUGUUUAUGAUCGGAGGUAGAGCACUGGAUAGGUCUGAAUGGCGCAAGCUGUCAGACUUAAUCAAACUCCGAAUUCCGGUCAACAGAGUGCGGGAGUCAGACUGUGCGGGCUAAGCUGCAUAGUCAAAAGGAGAAGAAUCCUGACCACAACUUAAGGUCCCUAAAUAUAAGCUCAGUGACGAAAGGAGGUGAAGUUUCUUAGACAGCUAGGAGGUUGGCUUAGAAGCAGCCACCCUUUAAAGAGUGCGUAACAGCUCACUAGUUUAGAGACUUUGCGCCGAAAAUUCAACGGGGCUAAGCUUAUUACCGAAAGUGUGGAUAUCGUCGCAUUCGUGCGGCGGUGUGGUAGGGGAGCGUUCCCAUCUGCUGUGAAGGUGAAAGCGUGAGCUUCGCUGGAGCGUUGGGAAGUGCGAAUGUUGGCAUAAGUAACCGCAAUACCGGUGAAAGUCCGGUACACCGUAAGCCCAAGGUUUCCUUGGCAAUGACAAUCAGCCAAGGGUUAGUCGCGCCUAAGACGAAGCAGAGAUGCAUAGUCGAUGGACAGCAGGUUAAUAUUCCUGCACCGCGAUGCAUAUCGAUGGAGGGACACUUUAGAGUAUCAUGAUCGUAUUAUUGGAUUUACGUUCUUUGUCCGACGAGGUCUGCCAGGCAAAUCCGGCAGGCUCCUUUCAAUAGGAACUCAGAUGGAUCGAGAAAAUGUCCGUAGCAAUACGGAUAAAUUCAUGAGAGCAUGGGGUCGAGAAAAUCUCCUAAGAAUAUGUGCAGAGCGCGCGUACCGCAAAACCGACACAGGUGGGCGAGGCGAGUAGCCUCAGGUGAACGAGUGAGAGUUCGUUAAGGAACUCGGCAAAAAAGCAGCCGUAAGUUCGCAAUAAGGCUUGCCCUUCGCAAGAAGGGCCGCAGCUAAAGUAUCCCUGGCAACUGUUUAUCAAAAACACAGCUCCCUGCUAACUCGCAAGAGGAUGUAUAGGGGGUGACGCCUGUCCGGUGCUGGAACGUUAACGGCGGAUGUUCAUGUUUACGCAAGUAGGUGUGAGCUAUUGCCCGAAGCGCCAGUGAACGACAGCGAUAACUAUAAUCGUUCUAAGGUAGCGAAAUUCCUUGUCUGGUAAGUUCAGACGCGCACGAAUGGCGUAAUGACUGGGGAACUGUCUCAACGAAUUGCUCGGUGAAAUUACAAUAACGGUGAAGAUGCCGUUUUCCUGCAACUAGACGAAAAGACCCCGGGAGCUUUACUGUUGCUUGUUAUUGUGCUGUGAUUUUAGAUGCGUAGCGUAGGCGGUAGACUUUGAAGUUGUGCUUUCGGGCACAAUGGAGUCGUCCCUGAAACACCGCUCUUUUAAACUUACAGUACUAACCUGUCGUGCAAAACACGGCGGGGACAGUUGCUGGUAGACAGUUUUAGUGGGGCGCUAGCCUCCUAAAUGGUAACGGAGGCGUUCAAAGGUCGGCUAGCUCCGGAUGGAAAUCGGAGUGAUAGCGUAAAGGCAUAAGCCGGCUUUACUGCAAGACGUACAUGUCGCGCAGUUACGAAAGUAGGACUUAGUGAACCGACGCUACAUUAUAGAAUGGGCGAAGAUCAUCGGAUAAAAGCUACCCCGGGGAUAACAGGCUAGUCGUGCCCAAGAGUUCAUAUCGACGGCACGGUUCGGCACCUCGAUGUCGGCUCGUCGCAUCCUGGGGGUGGAGAAGCUCCCAAGGGUUUGGCUGUUCGCCAAUUAAAGCGGUACGUGAGCUGGGUUCAAACCGUCGUGAGACAGGUUGGUCUCCUAUCUGUUGCAGGCGCUGAAACUUGAGGGGAGUUCUCUCUAGUACGAGAGGACCGAGAGGAACAAACCGCUGGUGUGCCAGCUGUCCUGCCAAGGGCAACGCUGGGUAGCUAUGUUUGGAUGUGAUAAGAGCUGAAAGCAUCUAAGCUCGAAACACGCCCCAAGAUUAGGUUUCGCUGGGAAUAAAUCCCUGAAGGUCCGUGAGAGAUUAUCACGUUGAUAGGUCGCAGCUGUAAGCGCCGCAAGGCGUUCAGGCGAGCGAUACUAAUUAACCGAUCCCGCAAAAACA